CUUCAACACGCGCACAUGUGACAUGCCCCAUGGUCGCCGCCGCUCCAGGCAUCCUCCCGUGGCCUCACCUCCCUCUCCCUUCCUCCUCCCACCCGUCUGACGCCUCUGACGCCGCCGCAGCAGCAACAGACGCCAACACCUCCGCGUAUGACAUCCAGAUCUUCGAGCCCACCUCCAUCGAGGAGCGUCGUCGCCUCCUGAUCCAGCGGCGUCGCCUCCGACUCGCCGCCUCCCAUGCCUCGCGGCUCACCGUUGCCUCGCGCGUCUCCUCCAAACUCAUCAGCGCCACCGCCUCCUGCUCCAGCGGCGUCGCAUCCGAUCUGCCGCCUCCCCUCCUCAUGGCUCGUCGUUGCCUCCCGCCUCUUCCCCAACCUCGCCCUUGCCGCCCUUGGAGGAUCCCAAAUCCGACGACGAGCUCAGUAGGCCCACGCAGACGCGGAUGUGCUAUGAACUUCAGGCGAAAGAAGGCUCAUGUGCUGCUUCGAAAAUCAGUUCUAAGAAGGCAACCAGGGACAACAAACCUGAUAAGGGAAGAAACAUGUUCUGGAUAAAUAUUGGCCUUUGUUUCAAGACUCCAAGGUAAGCCAUUGAAUCCCGCCACCAUCCAGGGAUCAAUCCUCACCACGAGGACCAGGGGUGAUGCCAACAAGGU
rnacentral:misc_RNA from 1 species